AGUGAACGCUGGCGGUAGGCCUAACACAUGCAAGUCGAACGGCAGCACAGUAAGAGCUUGCUCUUACGGGUGGCGAGUGGCGGACGGGUGAGGAAUACAUCGGAAUCUACUUUUUCGUGGGGGAUAACGUAGGGAAACUUACGCUAAUACCGCAUACGACCUACGGGUGAAAGCAGGGGAUCUUCGGACCUUUCGCGAUUGAAUGAGCCGAUGUCGGAUUAGCUAGUUGGCGGGGUAACGGCCCACCAAGGCGACGAUCCGUAGCUGGUCUGAGAGGAUGAUCAGCCACACUGGAACUGAGACACGGUCCAGACUCCUACGGGAGGCAGCAGUGGGGAAUAUUCGACAAUGGGCGCAAGCCUGAUCCAGCCAUACCGCGUGGGUGAAGAAGGCCUUCGGGUUGUAAAGCCCUUUUGUUGGGAAAGAAAAGCAGCAGGUUAAUACCCCGCUGUUCUGACGGUACCCAAAGAAUAAGCACCGGCUAACUUCGUG
rnacentral:rRNA from 1 species